AACCCGGCGGGUUUUAAAACUUCAUAUCUAUAUCCGUAUCAGACCAAAAACCCGAAAUCCGGAUCCGAACCCGGCGGAUUUUAAAAAUCCAUACGGUUGAGUUGAAUGAAAAUCUAAAAGAUAAAAUUUAUUAAAUAUUUUAUAUAUUAUAUAAAUAAAAUAAAAAUAAAUUAUGUAUUUAUAUAAUUUAUUCGGGUUCGGGUUCGGGUUCGGGUCGGGUAUAUACAAAAUCCAUACCCGUACCCAUAUCCGUCGGAUUUUUAUUUUCUAUACCCAUAACCGAAUCCAUACCCGUUUACCUCGGAUAAACCCGUCCCGUUCGGGUUCGGGUUCGGAUAAUUUUUCGGAUAUCCCUACCCAUUGACAUCCCUAGUACAAAUCUAACCGAGGGGAAAAGAGAGAUGGAGAUUGAGGAAGAAGAAGAAGAUAGGUGAGAAGAAGUGAGGAGAGGGGGAAUGAGAGAGAAUAAAAAAUAGAGGGAUGGAAAGGAAAGGGAUGUGGCACACACUACAACAAAAUAAAUAUAUAGCGCAAUUAUCUCAUAAAUUAGCGGCGAUUAUAAUUGCCGCUUCUCUUUACCAGCAAUUGUAAUAAUGAGCAAAAUAAUUGCCACUAAAAAUUAUUCUAUACUGACAAUUAUAAAGGCCAUUAAGAAUAAAAUAUAUUUGUCCAUAAAAUAUUGAACAAUAAUCAGAAAUGCCAACAAAAAUAAGAUAAAUUACCACUAAAUAUAAAAGGUAUUAAAUCAUCAUUAGACAACUUUAUUU
rnacentral:lncRNA from 1 species